GUGCAGGAGGAGAAGAUUUUCGCGGGCAAGGUGCUGCGGCUGCACAUCUGCGCGUCCGACGGCGCCGAGUGGCUGGAGGAGGCGACCGAGGACACCUCGGUGGAGAAGCUCAAGGAGCGCUGCCUCAAGCACUGUGCUCAUGGGAGCUUAGAAGACCCCAAAAGUGUGACCCAUCACAAAUUAAUACACGCUGCUUCGGAGAGGGUGCUGAGUGAUGCCAAAACAAUCUUGGAAGAGAACAUCCAAGACCAAGAUGUCUUACUGUUGAUAAAAAAGCGUGCCCCGAGUCCGCUGCCCAAGAUGGCCGACGUGUCCGCAGCAGAAAAG